CCUACGGGGGGCAGCAGUGAGGAAUAUUGGUCAAUGGGCGGAAGCCUGAACCAGCCAAGUCGCGUGAGGGAAUAAGGCCCUACGGGUCGUAAACCUCUUUUGCCGGGGAGCAAGGGCGGGGACGUGUCCCGGCCCGGAGAGUACCCGGAGCAAAAGCAUCGGCUAACUCCGUGCCAGCAGCCGCGGUAAUACGGGGGAUGCGAGCGUUAUCCGGAUUUAUUGGGUUAAAGGGGUGCGUAGGCGGGCUUUUAAGUCAGAGGUAAAAAUUCGGGGCUCAACCCCGUCCGGCCGUUGAAACUGGGGGCCUUGAGUGCGGCGGAGGCAUGCGGAAUGCGCGGUGUAGCGGUGAAAUGCAUAGAUAUCGCGCAGAACCCCGAUUGCGAAGGCAGCGUGCCGUGCCGCCACUGACGCUGAGGCACGAAAGCGCGGGGAUCGAACAGGAUUAGAUACCCGAGUAGUC
rnacentral:rRNA from 1 species